rnacentral:rRNA from 1 species
GGCCUACCAUGGUGGUAACGGGUAACGGGGUGUUAGGGCACGACACCGGAGAGGGAGCCUGAGAAACGGCUACCACAUCCAAGGAUGGCAGCAGGCGCGCAAAUUACCCAAUCCCGACACGGGGAGGUAGUGACAAUAAAUAACAAUACGGGGUUCUUUAGGAUCUCGUAAUUGGAAUGAGUACAAUUUAAAUCUCUUAACGAGGAACAAUUGGAGGGCAAGUCUGGUGCCAGCAGCCGCGGUAAUUCCAGCUCCAAUAGCGUAUAUUAAAGUUGUUGCAGUUAAAAAGCUCGUAGUUGAAUUUCGGGGUUAGUAGGUUGGUCAUGCCUCUGGUAUGUACUGGUCUCACUGAUUCCUCCUUCCUGAUGAACCUUAAUGCCAUUAAUUUGGGGGGGGGGGGAAUUUGGACUGUUACUUUGAAAAAAUUAGAGUGUUUAAAGCAAGCUAACGCUUGAAUACAUUAGCAUGGAAUAAUGAAAUAGGACGUUCGAUCCUAUUUUGUUGGUUUCUAGGAUUGACGUAAUGAUUAAUAGGGAUAGUUGGGGGCAUUAGUAUUCAAUUGUCAGAGGUGAAAUUCUUGGAUUUAUUGAAGACUAACUACUGCGAAAGCAUUUGCCAAGGAUGUUUUCAUUAAUCAAGAACGAAAGUUAGGGGAUCGAAGACGAUCAGAUACCGUCGUAGUCUUAACCAUAAACUAUGCCGACUAGGGAUCGGAUGAUGUUAAUUUUUUAAUGACUCAUUCGGCGCCUUACG